rnacentral:rRNA from 1 species
UACGUAGGGGGCAAGCGUUGUCCGGAAUUAUUGGGCGUAAAGCGCGCGCAGGCGGCUUUGUAAGUCUGUCGUUUAAGUUCGGGGCUCAACCCCGUAUCGCGAUGGAAACUGCAAGGCUUGAGUGCAGAAGAGGAAAGUGGAACUCCACGUGUAGCGGUGAAAUGCGUAGAUAUGUGGAGGAACACCUGUGGCGAAGGCGGCCUUGCUGGCCAAUUUCUGACGCUGAGGCGCGAAAGCGUGGGGAGCAAACAG